rnacentral:lncRNA from 1 species
UAGAAACAUUAUCCACGUGAACGUGGUGUCUAUGAAAAGUUGGAACAAAGAUACCAAAAAAAUAGCAGUCUUUGAAGAACUGAAUUAGUUUCCCUUUGGAUUUGGUCUGCUUGUUAUCUUCAUAAUUUGAAGGCUCGACCGUGGCCGUAAAACCACCCAUGGGAGUAAUAAUGACUGUGAGCCGGAAGAGUCGAACAGUUUUCAGUCUCUCCUGGAGUGGAACUAUAGUUUAGACAUACAUUAUCUAUUGUGUAUAUAGUUGCAGAACAUCUAGAAGCUAAAAAAAAUCAAUAAAGCGUUAGAUUCACGGUAAGGAAUGGAGAAAGGGAAUUUAACAUUUUCUCUAUGACAUGGAUGUCAUGCAAGCAACCCUUUCUCUACCCUAAGCUUAGUUCUGACAUGAGUUAAACAUGUCACCAUGCUUCAACAUCUUAGCAGUGCAGAAAGGCUACUAUUCUAGAAUGGUUAGAAUAUAAGGAAAUUGGGCAUGAGCACAUAAAGGGCUAUAAAAAUUAUUGUUUCGCAAAGCUAACCAGGACUGAAAAAGAACAAACACAAAAUUUAGGAUGACCAAAGCCAUAUGUCCUCAGGAGAAUAAAUCACACUAAAUUAACAAUGGAUAUAUAAAUAAGUUUAAAAGGCUAAAAUGAAGGAAAUGCCUAAUGUCAUGGCGCCUUUGGUUAUUCAUGUGCAUAUCCAAUAGUAAGCAUGAUCUAAUGAGAGAAGAAAAGUUUCAAAGUUAUCAGUUGAUACAAAAUGUGCAGCAAGAAUAUAUAUUUUAUAAACUAUUCAAUAAUAAGUAUGAUGCAUCUUAUUAGAGGAAAAGCAACUAAAAAAAUCCUAGUAAAUUUAAGAAGAGAGAUGUAGCUAAGCUGUGUAGAAAGAUCUUACCAGCGCUUGCAAAGGAGUCGAUUGCAGUAGCAGUUGCGUAAGAGAAGAUGCACUGAUGAUCUCCAUCUGCUUAUGACUUGAAACCAGCGGCAGAGUAUACGGAUGAAGUUAUCAUCAAAGCAUGCUUUCAAAACUUGACUACAAGAAAAAGGAAGUGAUAAGAAAUCAAUACUAACCGAGCAACGAACUGGAAUACAUAUAUAUGUAUAUGAUCAUCACAACAGUAUUCUUCCUGUAGUCACUGCUAUCUGA